UUUUCCUUCAUAGAGUGCAUAAGGAAAUUUUAACUGUGCUCCUCUUGUCCUUUGAAACACAGAAAAAACGUGCCCCUCAGUUUAGUUCCCUCUGAGCCAACAAUGGCCCUGCAUCACAGCUACACAAGAGAGCAUGGCAAAGGGAUCCUGCCUCCCAAAGAGCACGAGGCACAACAUUUUCACAGAGAUCGAAGGCCCAUUGACCCUUGAAAACAGCCUGGAAAAGAACAUUGCCAGAGGCCACAACAGGCUUAGAGACACCUUGCAGAGAAGGAGAAACCUCUAGAGAGGGGAUACUGGUGGGGACGAUCCUGCAGAGUAUUAUGUUCUCAAGGUGCUCGCACAAGGGAUGAGCAGGUUUUCAACAAAGCCUUGCAGGCCAUUCAGCAUCCAGUUCAACAGCUGUAGUGCAGACUGGGGGUGUUUGUAACGGGGUUCUUUCAAGGAGCCUCUGCCUACUGGGAUCCCCACCGGCUUUGCACCAGCUUUACCUUGGUGAUGUUUUCUGAGCAACACUACCACCACUUCACAGAAAACACAAGAGUUGCAGGCAGAGCCACUUGAUGGAGGACUUCAGAAGCAUUCAGCAAAUGUUAUCUCAUAGUCUGAAGAACUAAGAAGGUAUCAAACAGCAGCAAAAAAGUCACAAUUGAAAAUGCUCUUGAGAUCAUCACCAGCACAAUCGGAGCAGAACAACAACAUAAAGGAAAACAAAUACAGUUUGGUAACUGAAAUAAAAGCUGGAUAGUUUUGUUUUAUACCAACUUAGAUUUUGUAAUUCAUGUCAGAAAAAGGAUGUGGCUUUUAGUCACGACGAGCAAUUGAAAGCAAGCUCAUUCCUGCUAAACCUGACUUGUUUACACACUCCUUGCAGGCAUAGACUGAACAGCAGCAUACACAGUUGGGCCUAUUAACUCCAUAACUCACUGAAUUUUCAAAAAGAUACACUUUUUUAUUUCAGCACUUCCUGGGCUUUUCCGUAGUGUUUGAAUUCCAUACUUAGAUACAGACUUUUGUAAGAUCAGUAGAUCCAUCUGCACUUCUUGAGAACCAUCACCCUGCACUCUCCACUUUUGAUCCAACUGUGUCCUUCUUUAAAAGAAAGAAUCAAACAAAAACUCUAAUAAUUUUCAAUUUUCAUGCCUUUGUUUAUGUAUCUUCAGAGCAUAAAUGUAAAAUCUGAACCAAUUUAAACACCCUAGUACUGUUUCUUCAGUGUUAGGAUCCCUGUGUUCCUGCCGUAUUACUGAUAGACAGGUGGGGGGUACUGGAGGAAAUCCGACUGCCGAUCAUGGUUUUCUCUCUAGCUUAAUAUAAGUAGCAAGAUAGCACCUCAUUAACACACACUUUAAUUACCAUACUCUUUAGCUUAUCAACCCACUUACAGAAAAAGAAGCCUCCAAAAA